CUUCGCCGUAAUCCUCUGGACCGAAUUCCUUGCAAAGUUUGGGUACAGCAGCGACCUCCAGUGGGCAGCUGGGCCGUAGAGGGCAGUCUACAGGAAAGGAAGGCGGAGCCUCGUCAGCGGGCUGGGGAUAGAUGGGCUAGAGUCCUCCCCACUCCACCCUCGACUCUCCGCCCUCUGCAUAAAAUCCUACUCGAAACGUUCAGACCACAGGUGGACCCAAGAGGGGCUGCCUCUGCCCUCCUAGACCCCACUGGUCUUGUCAUACCGCUCACCUAGCUUGAUCCGCCCCACAGUCUUCGGAAUCGGCGCCAUCACAUCUACAGUGACCCGGAAAUGAAAGGUUUCUGCCAGGCCUUGGGAUCAGCUCUUGGGGGUCAGAGCAUCCUUCCCACAUCCUCUGGCACUGCUGAACUUUUGCAGCAGCUCUUUCCUCCUCUCUUGGAUGCCCUUCGAGAGCCCAGGUUACGACUGAUUUUCUGCCAGCCUGCAGAUCCUGCGCCUGUCGCCCUAGGUCUCUGUACCCUGCAGACCACCUUGCUCUGGUUCCUGGGCAGAGCUCAGCAGUACUUGGCAGCAUGGGACCCAGCUUCCUUCCUGCUCCUGAUCCAAAAGGACUUACCUGUGAGUGGCUGGGGAGUAGGGAGGGGAGCAGCCUGAGCUAGGCUGAGCCCUCACUCCCUGUUUCCACCCAAAGCCUCUGUUGCAUGAGGCAGAAGCUUUGUCUAGCCUGGCCUCAGAGGAAAGCUUAUCUCUGGAAGUGGAGCAGCAACUGGGCCUGGAGAUCCAGAAGCUGACUGCACAGAUCCA
rnacentral:sRNA from 1 species